rnacentral:lncRNA from 1 species
CACUUCUCCUGGCUCCCAUCAUCGCUGACCCAGCCCAGGUGUCAGCUCUAGGCUGUUACCCCAGGACUCACACUGGCAAAUGGUUUUCAUAGACAUCUAUCCAGAGGCCUGCACACCAACUAUCUUUUGCAAUGUGUCUUUGGCCAGAAGAAAUUGUUCAUCCUUCUCUUAAGAUAACAGCAAACCUGUCUUGGAAUGGCACAUCUUGGAAUGACUCCAAGCAGAACCGGCUGUCAUGAAUGAGCUGUAUGAAGAUGCAGAGUUUGUUUUACUUAU